rnacentral:rRNA from 1 species
GACGAACGCUGGCGGCGUGCCUAAUACAUGCAAGUCGAGCGAAUCUUUUGGGAGCUUGCUCCCAAAAGAUUAGCGGCGGACGGGUGAGUAACACGUGGGCAACCUGCCUAUAAGACUGGGAUAACUUCGGGAAACCGGAGCUAAUACCGGAUACGUUCUUUUCUCGCAUGAGAGAAGAUGGAAAGACGGCUUCUAGCUGUCAUUUAUAGAUGGGCCCGCGGCGCAUUAGCUAGUUGGUGGGGUAAUGGCUCACCAAGGCGACGAUGCGUAGCCGACCUGAGAGGGUGAUCGGCCACACUGGGACUGAGACACGGCCCAGACUCCUACGGGAGGCAGCAGUAGGGAAUCUUCCGCAAUGGACGAAAGUCUGACGGAGCAACGCCGCGUGAACGAAGAAGGCCUUCGGGUCGUAAAGUUCUGUUGUUAGGGAAGAACAAGUACCAGAGUAACUGCUGGUACCUUGACGGUACCUAACCAGAAAGCCACGGCUAACUACGUGCCAGCCGCCGCUGUAACAC